GUUGAUGUUGUUGCUUUUUUUUUGUUUUUGUUUUUGUUUUGUUUUGUU
rnacentral:ribozyme from 1 species